UACGUAGGGGGCAAGCGUUGUCCGGAAUCAUUGGGCGUAAAGCGCGCGUAGGCGGCCUGAUAAGUCCGCUGUAAAAGUCAACGGCUCAACUGUUGAACGCCGGUGGAUACUGUCGGGCUAGAGUCCGGAAGAGGCAAGUGGAAUUCCUGGUGUAGCGGUGGAAUGCGCAGAUAUCAGGAGGAACACCAAUAGCGAAGGCAGCUUGCUGGGACGGUACUGACGCUAAGGCGCGAAAGCGUGGGGAGCGAACAGG
rnacentral:rRNA from 1 species